GAUGAACGCUGGCGGCGUGCCUAAUACAUGCAAGUCGAGCGAACGGACGAGAAGCUUGCUUUUCUGAUGUUAGCGGCGGACGGGUGAGUAACACGUGGAUAACCUACCUAUAAGACUGGGAUAACUUCGGGAAACCGGAGCUAAUACCGGAUAAUAUUUUGAACCGCAUGGUUCAAAAGUGAAAGACGGUCUUGCUGUCACUUAUAGAUGGAUCCGCGCUGCAUUAGCUAGUUGGUAAGGUAACGGCUUACCAAGGCAACGAUGCAUAGCCGACCUGAGAGGGUGGUAGGCCGCACUGGAACGGAGACACGGUCCAGAGUCCUACGAGAGGGAGCAGUAGCGAAUCUUACGCAGAGGGCGGGAGCCUGACGGAGCAACGCCGAGUGAGUGAUAGAGAUCUUCGGAGCGUAAAACUCUGUUAUUAGGGAAGAACAUAUGUGUAAGUAACUGUGGACAUCGUGACGGUACCUAAUCAGAAAGCCACGGCUAACUACGUG
rnacentral:rRNA from 1 species